rnacentral:rRNA from 1 species
UAUAAGAAGGGCAGAGAAGUAAAAGGUGAGCUGGGUUCUCCUUUUGAUUUCCUCUACAUGCAUGACAGGCAGAAGAGUUAUAUCUAGGGAGUCUUCUUAAGUAGGAUCUAAAGUAUCCAUGACCUAAUUUUAGCUGACUUCUAGUAGACCAAAGGCUCUUAGGCCAUUUAUCUUUAGAAGCUUGCCAUUUAGGAGUAGUUUUAAAAGGUAGAUAGUCUUUUCCUAGACCUUUUUUCCUCUUUUCUUCUAGAUCUUGAUUCCACUCCUCUAGAGCUAUUUCUUUAAUUUUCCUCUUAAUAGUAGCUAAAGAGGUAUAUUUAUUUUUAGAAAUAUCUCUAGGGUCUCUAGAUCUAGCCCCUAAUUUAGUAGCAAAGUCUGCUUUUUCAUUUCCCAGAAUAUUCUGAUGGGCUGGAAUCCAGGCUAUUUUAAUAUUAUAGCCUCUGUCUUUUAGCUCCUUAGCUAUUCUUCUAAUUCUAGAGAUAUACCUCUCACCGCCUUCUAGAAGUGAUUUCUGUAGUCUCUGAAUAGCAGCUUGACUAUCAAUAAAUAGCCAUAAUUCUUUAUUAGAAGAAUAGGUAAAGAGUGGGUUUAUUAGAGAAGGAUUUCUCUUUAUAGCUUUUAAGCCUUGAAUAAAGGCCUGCUCUAUAGCAAAGAGUUCUGCAUCAAAAACUUCUAAUUCUGUCUCUAGGCUCCAAGAUCCAUAGUUAGCAGUCCUAAAGUUAUAGAUUCCUGCUCCUAGAUAACCUGUAUCAAGCUUAGAGCUAUCAGAAUAGUAGAUAAUACUAUCUUUAUUCUUUAAGACUUCUUUAAGAAGAUCUAGAUGCUCCCUUUUAGCUAUCUCUUUUGGAGAUUGGCUGAUUUUAAAGUCUAUUAGGUUCUCUAGACUUUGAUUCCAAGGUUUAAUCCAGUUCUGAUUAAUAGCCUCUAUUUUAGAACUUGAUAGAAGGUUAGCUAUUUUAGAGGUUAUUCUAAAUAGCUGAGAAGGUUCUAAUUUCUCCUUUUUACCUUCUAUAUAGUCUAACUCAGACCAAUCAUAAAAUUUUAACCAGUCUAGGUCAAUUCCUAAAUCCCUUUCUGGGGGGAAGGAUUUUGAUACCCUAGCCCUAAUAGGAUAGUUAUCUUGAAGUUUAAUUAUUCUUAGGGCAUAGUUUUAGCAGAUUCUAUCUAAUCUAACCUUUAUUGGUGGAAUAGAAGCCUCAAUUUUUAUAGCGUAGGAUGGGGAGGUCCUAAAGGCUCCUAGAAUCUUUCUUAGGGCUUUAUUCUAUAGAAUUCUAAAUUUUUCCAGAAGUUCCUUCUGACCUCUCCACCAGAUAGGGACCCCAUAGUCUGCUAUUGAGCUAAUAUAUACUAUAUAUAGCUAUCUCAUAGCCUAAAAAGAGAGACCUCUUUCUGUAUUAGAAAGCCUAGAAAUUUGGUUUAGAACUUUCUCAGCAGCUAGAAGCUUUAUCUCCACAUGUUUUUUAAAGGUUAGGUUAUUAUCAAAGAAUACUCCUAACCACCUAACUAGUUUCUUAGGUUUAAUAUUUAGACUCUUUCCUUCUAUAUCUAUAGAUAUCGAAUCCUGCUCCUCAUCUAUAUUUCUAUAGAAGUGGAUAAAUUCCGUCUUAUCAAUAUCUAUUUAAAUAAGAAGUUCUUUCUGCCUUCCUAAGAUAACCUCUAGGGCUUCCUUAAGCCUCUUAGAGUUUUCUUUCUUUGAUUUUAAGCUUAUAAUUAAGCCAAUAUCAUCAGCAUAGCUAGGUAGUCUUAUAUCUCUAAGUUUUUCGUGAUCUUUAAAUAGAUUUCUGAUAUAGAUCAUAAAAAGAAUAGGUGAUAUAGGAGAGCCUUGUGGUAUUCCUAUUUCUAUAUCUCUUCUAUCUUGAACUUCUCCAUCAAAAGCAAGCUAGAUAGUUCUUUU